UUUAAGUGCAACUAUAAGUUUCCGUGUCUAACUUUGAUCGUCUGUCUUAUUUAAAAUUUUUUUAUAAUUAGUAUUUUUAUUGUUAUGAGAUGAUAAAACAUGAACAGUUUUUUACUCGUGACUUAUGUUUUAAAAUUUUUUCAAAUAUGAUCAAAGUUGUGGGCGGAAAACCAUAGUUACACUUAAA
rfam:Oryza sativa Japonica Group DNA, chromosome 12, cultivar: Nipponbare, complete sequence.